GAAAGCCCCGCUAAAAUACGCAAUAAGCUCGUUUUACCUGCGCCGUUAGGGCCUUCAAUUUGGACGAUAUCACCAG
rnacentral:tRNA from 1 species